GGCUUGGACUGCAAGGGCCUUGAUGAGGAUGAGCCUUGCUGGGAGAAGACGCAGUGGUCCACCUCGACCCCCGGAGCAGUUUUCAGGUCUCAGUGCUGCCAGAGGUGUCCGCCAGCUCUCCCUUUGGAUUGGAAAAUGCACGGAACCCUGCUUGCUGGGGUCAUGGAAGUGCUUUGGCAGAGUUCUCAAGGGCCAGAGAGGAGAAGACUGCUUACCGAGCCUCUCAUAGAGCAGCAGCCAUUUAGGAAAUGGGAUUCUAACAGACUUGCUGGAGUUUCACAAGCCUGGCAGUUUGCAUGGAGGAACUGUGUGUGACUGCACUUCCAUCUGGCAGGUGGUCUCGCU
ensembl:lncRNA